UACGGGGGGGGUAAGCGUUGUUCGGAAUUACUGGGCGUAAAGGGCUCGUAGGCGGUCUGUCGCGUCUGCUGUGAAAACUCGGGGCUUAACCCCGGGCCUGCAGUGGGUACGGGCAGACUAGAGUGCGGUAGGGGAGACUGGAAUUCCUGGUGUAGCGGUGAAAUGCGCAGAUAUCAGGAGGAACACCGGUGGCGAAGGCGGGUCUCUGGGCCGUAACUGACGCUGAGGAGCGAAAGCGUGGGGAGCGAACAGG
rnacentral:rRNA from 1 species